rnacentral:rRNA from 1 species
CACGUAGGGGGCGAGCGUUGUCCGGAUUUAUUGGGCGUAAAGAGCUCGUAGGCGGCUCAGUAAGUCAGGUGUGAAAACUCCAGGCUCAACCUGGAGACGCCACCUGAUACUGCUGUGGCUAGAGUCCGGUAGGGGAGCAUGGAAUUCCUGGUGUAGCGGUGAAAUGCGCAGAUAUCAGGAGGAACACCAGUGGCGAAGGCGGCUUUCUGGUCUGCUCCUGACGCUGAGGCGACGAAAGCUAGGGUAGCAAACGGG